UUUAGAGGGAGUGAGACCUGUAGGUUUAGAGGGAGUGAGACCUGUAGGUUUAGAGGGAGUGAGACCUGUAGGUUUAGAGGGAGUGAGACCUGUAGGUUUAGAGGGAGUGAGACCUGUAGGUUUAGAGGGAGUGAGACCUGUAGGUUUAGAGGGAGUGAGACCUGUAGGUUUAGAGGGAGUGAGACCUGUAGGUUUAGAGGGAGUGAGACCUGUAGGUUUAGAGGG